GACGAACGCUGGCGGCGUGCUUAACACAUGCAAGUCGAACGGUGAAGCGCCUUCCUUUUUGGUGGGUGUGGAUGAGUGGCGAACGGGUGAGUAACACGUGAGUAACCUGCCCCCUUCUUCUGGAUAACCGCAUGAAAGUGUGGCUAAUACGGGAUAUUCUGGGCCUGUCGCAUGAUGGGUCUGGGAAAGAUAUUGUUUCGGUGGGGGAUGGGCUCGCGGCCUAUCAGCUUGUUGGUGGGGUGAUGGCCUACCAAGGCGGUGACGGGUAGCCGGCCUGAGAGGGUGGACGGUCACACUGGGACUGAGACACGGCCCAGACUCCUACGGGAGGCAGCAGUGGGGAAUAUUGCACAAUGGGCGCAAGCAUGAUGCAGCGACGCCGCGUGAGGGAUGGAGGCCUUCGGGUUGUGAACCUCUUUCGCCAGUGAAGCAGGCCUGCCUCGUUUGUGGGUGGGUUGACGGUAGCUGGAUAAGAAGCGCCGGCUAACUACGUG
rnacentral:rRNA from 1 species